ACUCGAGAACAUUUAGCACAAUAAACAAGCCACUGAAAGACAAAGACUGCAUGAUUCCACUCAUGUGAAGUAUCUAAAAUAGUCAAAUUCAUAGAGUCAAAGAAAGCAAUGGUGUUACCAGGAAGCGGUGGCAGGGGUAAAUGGGGAAUUACUAAUUAUUAGGCAUAAAGCUUCGGGCAAGCAAAAUGAACCUGGAGAUCUGCUGUACAAUGUUGCACCUAUCAUCAACAAUGUACUGUACGUUUAAAAAUGUGCUGAAGGUAGAUAUUAUAUUAAAUAUUCUUACCACAUUAAUAGUUUUUUAAAACCUUAAAAUUAAAUAGAAGUAUUUGGUACACUCUCAUUGGCCUAUUGUUAAUGCUUCACCUUGUGGAAAGUUGGCAACAUGAGAGUUUUAUGGAAAUAGAAUCGUUCCAUCACUUUUAUUUCCAAAUAUGUAACUGACUUUUUCAAAGGUUGAAUGUCAAGCUUAUGUAACUGCAUGGAAUUACUCGAUGAUUUGAGUGAUUCCAAUUCAUCAUGACAUCUUGGAUCCAGAAGCCAUUUCUGAAGCCAUCCCAAAUAGAUAAAGAUCAUCUACUGUCAAUAGAACUGGGAUUUCAGUAAGAAAAAUUGGCAGACGAUACGUUUUUCAUGUACUUCCAUAGUUUUUGAGCAUUGUUCCAUACUGAGCUAUAAGAAUAUUGAUUUUACACUGAUGGCUUCCAUAUUAGAAAAGAUGUAAGAAAUAUACUUACUGAUUGUAUAUUUUAAGUCUUCAAGAUAUAUCUAGGUGACAAAGCAAUAUUAUAGCAAGAAGCUUUGAACUUUCUGGAAAAAUUAAAUUUUAUUUUUCCAACUGAGAUAUCACAAAUAAUAUUGAACAUGUCUUAUACAACUCCAAAUCAAAGAUAAUACAUUUAGGACGAUAAUGAAAUUGUCCACAAUACCCUUUAGGAAUAAUCUUGGAGAAAACUUUCCUUCAUUAAAAAUGGAUAUUGCUGAACAAAACAAAUACUAAUGCAGAGGCACUGGCUUACUUUACAUUUAUCAGUGAACUCUAUUUGACCUUCACUUUAAGGACACACAGCAGGAAAGCUGUCUGGAAUACCCCACCCUAAACAGUGGAUGAAUUUAUUACAUCUCCGAAUAAAGAAUGCCUGAGCAGUGGCUCACUACUUGAUAGAGGAGGAAAAACAAAAAUAGUCCAAGCUGUUUUUAUUCAGGAAAAGUUCAAUUUUUCGGUUCAUCCUCAAAACAGUGAAGUUGAAGAGACUUGGAGCUCGCUGACUUAGUGGUAUAUUUCAGUUAUGAAUAAUAAGAGAUGAAGCAUUUGUUACUAUUGUGAAAACCUGAUGAGCUCUAUUCCACAGUGACUCAAAGCUCUGCUGAGUUAAUACUUUUGGAACAAGACUGGUCUUGGCUUGAAAUUACACUGAAUCAAGUGGACACUUCUUAGACCUUAUCUUACUUGACUUCUCUGCAAACUUUGACAUUGUUGACUGAACUCUUCUCUGUGAAAGUCUUCCUUCUCUGUGAAACUCUUCAGCUGAGCUGAACUCUUCCUUAGCAUCUGAGAUUCCUCACUCCCAAAGAGGUUGUCCACUCUACCUCGUGAUGGCUCUUGACCAAUCUCCUAAUAGUUGGUCUUGCUGAGAUUUUGUUGUGAUCUUGUUGGAAUUAAACACUAAAUCCAUAGUCCCUUGGUGACAUCAUCUAUUUAUGAGAUCAACUACUACAUAUAGGGUAAAGAAUUUAAAAAUCAAUUAUAUCCUGAGACCAAAAUCUCUAUUUCCAACUCCUUACUAGAUUUUUUUGCUUGGAUGUUCUGCUACCCAACAUUUAAUGUGUCUGUACUGAACUCCUUAUGCUCUGCUCUGCUUCUCCUAUUCUUCCUGUUUCCAUGAAUGCUAACCUAGUUGCCUCAUUCAAAAAACAUUCUUGACUUCACCUUCAUUGUUCCCCACAAAUAAUCUCAAAGACUGUCUAAAUUCUAAUCCUCUCUCAUCUUCUCCAUCUCUGGUCAUAUUCAUUGUCAUUGUCUUAGUUCAGGCUCCCAUUGUCUGUCUCUUGAUCACUGCCUUAGACUCCUAACUGGUUUUGCCUGACUCUUUUCUCUAUGCUUCAGAGUUUCACAAAGUGUUACAAAAUAGACAUCUGAUCAUUUCUUUCACCAGAUUAAAAUUCUCCCAAAAUUUGCUAUCAUCCUUAUAAUAAAGUUAAACUUGUAAGCAAGUAAAGAAGUCCUGGAUGCUCUGAUUUCUUUUUACUUUUUAAUCUCUCUAGCUUUAGUGUUUGCCAUCUUUCCUCUUGUACCACCUUAUGGCCAUAUUCAAAUACUUGAAGUUGCUCAAUGAGCCAUUUUCUCUCUUUCCUCUGGGUCUUUGCCUAUGUUCUUCCCUCUGCCUGGAAUAAUCUCUUUGUUUGUCUCAUUAUUUGUCUGGCUUCUUAUAUACAAACUGUUGUCCUUAUGAUGUAAAUCUGGAGAAUCCAACAGAUGACAGCAAAAUUUACCUGAAAAUGAAGGAAAGACAUGAGGAGUUUAAAAGACAGAGAAGAACUGCCUUUAAUCAAAUACUUGGAGAUUUGAACUUCUUAUAUUUUGAUUACCAAUGUACUUUUUUUCUCAAAUUUGUAAAACACUUGAUAUAUGGUAGUCACUCAAUAGAUAUAUUUUAGAAUUAACUAAUUAAUUGUGGAAUUACAACCCAGGAAGAAGAAGGUGCCUCAAAUAUCUUGUACUAUUUCAGAGUCACUAAGCAUCAGAUGAGGAUUUCUGGACAACUUUCUUAGCUGGUGUACCCUCAGCUCACAUCCAGACAUGGGAAUGAUAGAGAGAGAGUAGACAAUUGAUCUUAGGUUACAGUAGCCAUGAACUGGGCUCUGAAAGCAUACAGCCAGUGGUUCGGGAGUCUUCCCUGUGCCUUUCUAAGGAGUAUAUGAGAGAGACAUUUUAUUGUUCUUGAGGGCAUUAUGGGCCCCAUAAUCUCUGAAGCCAGGGAAAUACUUAACUCCAUAUUCGUGGCUUUUGGGAACUCAAGUGGAAUCCAGAAUGUUGGACCUGAUGCUCCAUGGAUUUUUGGGAAUCAAGUCAAGGUUGUCAGUGGCUACAGAGGGCCAAGAGUGCUUGAUAUUUCCAUACAUUUUUUUCUUCCAAAUGAAUCUUGGGAUUAUUUGUCUAUGGUUCUGCCAGAGGCCUUUCCAGAUUGUGAUGCAUUGGGAGAAAGCCACCAUGAACAUGUUGUCAGGUCUUCAGUCUUUUGCCAUUGCGUGAGAAAUAGAGCUUGUCAAACAUGUAGCAGAGCCGAACUUUCCAAAUUCCACAAGACUUCAGAGUGCUUGGAAUGACACCCACCCA